rfam:Firmicutes bacterium CAG:240 genomic scaffold, scf280
AGGCAUGAUAGAGGCGCGGUCGCCAUCAGUAGCUUAGUUUAAAACGCCGGGAAGCGUUAAGCGAAAGGGGCUAUCGCCGAAGGGUUCGGCUUUCCCGAGGUCGGAUGCCUGGGAUGCAGGAGAAUAUUCUGCAUACUGUCGCUUUAUGCGGAGAGCUGUCAUGAUC